GGGUGGAAGAGUUUUGUGGGCCAUCGAAUGGCUGAGGGAGAUUUGAAACACUUGAUCAACAGCCAGAAACGUGCUUUUCCAUAUCCAACGAUGGUGGCCCACUCUAGUGUGAGAUCCAACGGUCCAAAGCCAUCUAAGGCUACGAUCGGACGAUCAUGGGAGUUGCCGGCUAGGAAAGCUGAGACUAAAGCCUUAUUUGUGCC
rnacentral:lncRNA from 1 species